rnacentral:rRNA from 1 species
AGUGAACGCUGGCGGUAGGCCUAACACAUGCAAGUCGAACGGCAGCACAGUAAGAGCUUGCUCUUACGGGUGGCGAGUGGCGGACGGGUGAGGAAUACAUCGGAAUCUACUUUUUCGUGGGGGAUAACGUAGGGAAACUUACGCUAAUACCGCAUACGACCUACGGGGGAAAGCAGGGGAUCUUCGGACCUUGCGCGAUUGAAUGAGCCGAUGUCGGAUUAGCUAGUUGGCGGGGUAAAGGCCCACCAAGGCGACGAUCCGUAGCUGGUCUGAGAGGAUGAUCCGCCACACUGGAACUGAGACACGGCCCAGACUCCUACGGGAGGCAGCAGUGGGGAAUAUUGGACAAUGGGGGAAAGCCUGAUCCAGCAAUACCGCGUGGGUGAAGAAGGCCUUCGGGUUGUAAAGCCCUUUUGUUGGGAAAGAAAAGCAGCAGGUUAAUACCCCGCUGUUCUGACGGUACCCAAAGAAUAAGCACCGGCUAACUUCGUG